rnacentral:rRNA from 1 species
GCCAAAGAGGUAUCAAUCGAGUUUAAGGGAUCGAAUCUAGAACGAUGGUAAUAAUACCUUACGACCCUCAAACGUUUCUUACCCAACUGAGUGUCCUUCGGGGCAUUACAAGGGAAGAACUACUUGGCAAGCAACCUAACCAGGCGACUGGUGAACGAUACGAUAGACCGUGCUAUCAAAUUGAAGGUUUUCUAAAAGAUUACCUUGUUCCUUACGGAUAACGUGAACAUGAAGGUGCUGUUCCGGAGAGGAUGCCUGAGAUACAGCAACCACUUCCAUGGAAGGCAGCAGGCACGUAAAUUACCCAAUGUGAAGAACAUGAGGUAGUGACCAUUGCUAUCAAUCACUGUCCUUAUGGGCUAGUGUCGAAAUACGACUAAUUUAAGCAAAUCAAUGCUUAUGUAUGAGAGGGCAAGUCUGGUGCCAGCAGCCGCGGUAAUUCCAGCUCUUGAAGUGUAUAUCACUGAUGUUUAUGGUUAGAAAGCUCUUAAUUGGAUAUCAUGAGCGCCUCCUAGAGGCUCCAAGCUGUUCCUCGGAUCAGCUGAGUUGCUCUGCUCAAGCAGAGAGCUCAAAUCAGGUCGGUUGACCAUGAAUGAAGUACCACGGUACAAGUGAAACGUAUCAAUGUGGACCUCGGUCUGCAUUUGAAUUCAAUGAUUACGAAAGACCCUUACGG